UACCAGCACCCCGAGUGGUCGGGACGAUUAUUGGGCCUAAAGCAUCCGUAGCCGGUACUGCAAGUCUUCCGUUAAAUCCACCUGCUCAACAGUUGGGCUGCGGAGGAUACUACAGCGCUAGGAGGCGGGAGAGGCAAGCGGUACUCAGUGGGUAGGGGUAAAAUCCAUUGAUCCAUUGAAGACCAACCAGUGGCGAAGGCGGCUUGCCAGAACGCGCUCGACGGUGAGGGAUGAAAGCUGGGGGAGCAAACCGG
rnacentral:rRNA from 1 species